rnacentral:tRNA from 1 species
AUGGUUUUAGUUUAAGUAGAACAUUUGGUUUUGGUCCAGAAAGUUGAAACCAUU